GACGAACGCUGGCGGCGUGCUUAACACAUGCAAGUCGAACGGAAAGGCCCUGCUUUUGUGGGGUGCUCGAGUGGCGAACGGGUGAGUAACACGUGAGUAACCUGCCCUUGACUUUGGGAUAACUUCAGGAAACUGGGGCUAAUACCGGAUAGGAGCUCCUGCUGCAUGGUGGGGGUUGGAAAGUUUCGGCGGUUGGGGAUGGACUGGCGGCUUAUCGGCUUGUUGGGGGGGUAGUGGCAUACCAAGGCUUUGAGGGGUAGCCGGCCUGAGUGGGUGAGCGGCCAAGUUGGGACUGAGCUAAGACACAGACUCCUACGGGACGCAGCGGUGGGGAAUAUUGCACAAUGGGCGGAGGCCUGAUGCAGCAACGCCGCGUGCGGGAUGACGGGCUUCGGGUUGUAAACCGCUUUCGCCUGUGCCGAAGCGUGAGUGACGGUAAUGGGUAAAGAAGCACCGGCUAACUACGUG
rnacentral:rRNA from 1 species